UACAGAGGGGGCAAGCGUUGUUCGGAUUUACUGGGCGUAAAGGGCGCGUAGGCGGCAUGACAAGUCACUUGUGAAAUCUCCGGGCUUAACUCGGAAAGGUCAACUGAUACUGUGCGACUAGAGUGCAGAAGGGGCAACUGGAAUUCUCGGUGUAGCGGUGAAAUGCGUAGAUAUCGAGAGGAACACCUGCGGCGAAGGCGGGUUGCUGGGCUGACACUGACGCUGAUGCGCGAAAGCCAGGGGAGCGAACGGG
rnacentral:rRNA from 1 species